ACCAAUUAAGUCAGGAAGAAUUGACAUCUUGAUGACAUUGAGUUUUCCUAUUCGCAAACAUGAAAUGUUUCUCCAUUUAUGUAGUUCUUCUUUGACACCCGUCAUCACAGUUUUCUAUAUAAAGAUUUUGGGAGAAAUCCUACUUGGUCACGAUGUGUAAUUCUUUUUGAACAUUGUUGGAUUUGAUUUGCUAAUAUUUUGUUGAGGAUUUUUGCAUCUGUGUUCAUAAAAGAUAUUGGUCUGUAGUUUUCUCUUAUAAUUUGUCUUGCUUUGGUAUUAGUGUAAUGUUGGUC
rnacentral:lncRNA from 1 species